AUUGAACGCUGGCGGCAGGCCUAACACAUGCAAGUCGAGCGGGGUUUUCGGACCUAGCGGCGGACGGGUGAGUAAUGCGUAGGAAGCUGCCCGAUAGAGGGGGAUACCAGUUGGAAACGACUGUUAAUACCGCAUAAUGUCUACGGACCAAAGUGCGGGACCUUCGGGCCACAUGCUAUCGGAUGCGCCUACGUGGGGUUAGCUAGUUGGUGAGGUAAUGGCUCACCAAGGCGACGAUCUCUAGCUGGUUUGAGAGGAUGAUCGGCCACACUGGAACUGAGAACCGGUCCAGACUCCUACGGGAGGCAGCAGUGGGGAAUAUUGGACAAUGGGCGCAAGCCUGAUCCAGCCAUGCCGCGUGUGUGAAGAAGGCCUUCGGGUUGUAAAGCACUUUCAGCGAGGAGGAAGGGUGGUGUGUUAAUAGCACAUCAUUUUGACGUUACUCGCAGAAGAAGCACCGGCUAACUCUGUGCCAGCAGCCGCCGUAAGAC
rnacentral:rRNA from 1 species